rnacentral:tRNA from 1 species
UUAAUUGAAACCAAAAAGAGGUAUAUCAUUGUUAAUGAUAUCAAUGAGAAUUCUCCAAUUAAA